GAUGAACGCUGGCGGCGUGCCUAAUACAUGCAAGUCGAGCGAACGGACGAGAAGCUUGCUUCUCUGAUGUUAGCGGCGGACGGGUGAGUAACACGUGGAUAACCUACCUAUAAGACUGGGAAACUUCGGGAAACCGUAGCUAAUACCGGAUAAUAUUUUGAACCGCAUGGUUCAAAAGUGAAAGACGGUCUUGCUGUCACUUAUAGAUGGAUCCGCGCUGCAUUAGCUAGUUGGUAGGGUAACGGCUUACCAAGGCAACGAUGCAUAGCCGACCUGAGAGGGUGAUCGGCCACACUGGAACUGAGACACGGUCCAGACUCCUACGGGAGGCAGCAGUAGGGAAUCUUCCGCAAUGGGCGAAAGCCUGACGGAGCAACGCCGCGUGAGUGAUGAAGGUCUUCGGAUCGUAAAACUCUGUUAUUAGGGAAGAACAUAUGUGUAAGUAACUGUGCACAUCUUGACGGUACCUAAUCAGAAAGCCACGGCUAACUACGUG
rnacentral:rRNA from 1 species